GCCAAAUCGAGUGCUUGAACGCAGGAAGUUUACAGAUGAGAAGGAACGCAGCAUCACAAAGGCGCAGCUGUGGCUGCACGUCCAGAAGUCCCCUGAUAUCUGCUUUCAAACCAGGAUGUAUAUUCAAAACCUGUUUUUCUUUUCUUUUUUUUUUAAUAAUAUUUAUUUUUUUAGUUGUAGUUGAACACAAUGUCCUUAUUUUUAUGUGGUGCUGAGGAUCGAACCUAGGGCCUUGCACAUGCUAGGCAAGUGCUCUACCGCUGAGCCACAAUGCCAGCCCCCAAACCUGUUUUUCUAAAGUGCCACAACAUAGAAGUUAGACAUGUGUCUGCUUCCUGGUCUCACCCCAUGGGCAGCUAACCCAUGCUGAUGAUCUUCCUCUGGCACUCCUGAUGGACAUGCAGGGGUGAAUCUGUCUGUCCUUUUGGUUUACCUAAGCAAGAUCAUGUUCGUGAUUCGACCCCUUAACACCCACCCCACCCUGCUGUCCACUGGUCCUCCUCUGUGUCUGCAGUGCAGUUUGAUGUUGGGCGCUGUGAUGGGCAGCACCAUUCCAGUCCUCUGGGACCACAGAUGGUGGAGCUGUGAGCAACCACACCUGCCCUCUCUGACCUGGUGCCAGGGAUGUCCCUAAGUGCGUCUUGAAACAUCACUGCCAAGGGCUCCCAGGAGCGACCUUGUCUCCUCAUUCAGCAUCACAGAUGCCAGUGUCUGCUUGGAGGACAAGUGAUCAGGGCCUCCCCAGUAGAUCUUCUCCUCGGCGCAAGAGCCAACGAGACACAUUCCUGCGACCUCCCUCCCCGCAGGCUGCCCCCUCUUUCUCUCUGGGUCAUUCUGGUUCCCCACUCCACUUGUGCCUCCCGGGACUUGUCCAGAGCUGAGCAAUGCCCGGCUCCUCACUGCACGCUAUCGGCACCGUGGCUGGUCAAGUGUUGCUGAGCUCAGUGGCUGUGAGUUCUAGCACCCCUUUAGCUUCAGACAGGAUCAUUCCUGGGCUGCAAAUGUGUUUUAAACUGGCUGUGCAGGCCGCAGAGUCAGAUGAGCCGUAGCUGAAUGAACUCUCUUCUUUUUGAAAUGAAAAUUCUUUUUUUUCCCCAAGGUAACACUGCAGACAGGUGUUUCUUAAAAAAGCAGGGUUAUUUUCUUAGGAUUUCUGUUUCUACAAGCAGGAUCAUGGUUUGGAAGGCAGAAGUAAAUCUUGGGGUACAUUUUUAUGGUGUUCCUACCUGUGUCUUCUCAGUACCCCAGGAGGGCUUCACAUGCUGUUGGUACACAGAGCCGUUUGGUUCUUGGUCUCUGGUCUUUCUCACACUGCAUCUCCGCUGUUGCCACUAGAUUCACAGGAGGUAUGUGUGGCAGCCUUAAGCACAGCACCAGAGGCCCUCUGCAGCAUGGCGGCUCCUGUUGGUGAGCAGAGCCCCGUGGAGCGCGGCAGGAAACCUGGGGCCUGGGAGGCUGCAGGACCCACAUGGUCUGCCAUCUGCAGCUCUCCACUGAGUGCUCUCCUCUGGGUUCCAGUCUGUCGUCUCAGGUCUCCCCUUCCACAGCCCCAGGAUGCGCAGAUGGCUGUUCUAAGUGAUUCCUUGUUUCGGUGUCUGUCCUCACUGCUCAGAAUGCUGGCUGGCUGUGACUUUCAUGGGGCUUCUUCCCUGGGGGCAGAGGGGCUGCUGCUGCACUGUCCUGGCCACCUGUGGGCAGUGACCGAUGGCCCCAGCUGCUUGGGCGUGGGCACAGUUGGGCGCAGGGGAAGAGGCCUCCCAGCCCUUAUUUGUGAAGAACGCAAGCCGCUGAGAGGCAGCUGCUCCUGUGGUCCUGGGAGCCUGUUUCUGGGUGAUACGGUGCCCUCGGCUUCUCCCCUAGAGGACCCUGAGCUUCCACUGCCCUGGAUGUCCUUGGACAUGUUUUGCGAGUCUGUUUUCUGUACUCUCUACGUGAACCUAGACCACUUUCCUUUCUGGGGAUUAUCUUUGUGGGAAUCUGAUUCAGAUUUUUGACAAAUUUUCUUGAUGUCAGAAUUGUGCCACAUUUUUUUUUCAACCUUAGUUGCACAUCUUUCAUUUUUUAUUUUUUUAGUGUUCCAACUCAGCUUCUAUAGGGAUUAUACACUGCCGGGGAACCUGAAAGAAUCUACCACAGACUGCC
rnacentral:lncRNA from 1 species